rnacentral:rRNA from 1 species
AUUGAACGCUGGUGGCAGGCCUAACACAUGCAAGUCGAACGGUAACAGGAAACAGCUUGCUGUUUCGCUGACGAGUGGCGGACGGGUGAGUAAUGUCUGGGAAACUGCAUGAUGGAGGGGGAUCACUACUGGAAACGGUAGCUAAUACCGCAUAACGUCGCAAGACCACAGAGGGGGACCUUCGGGCCUCUUGCCAUCGGAUGGGCCCAGAUGGGAUUAGCUAGUAGGUGGGGUAACGGCUCACCUAGGCGACGAUCCCUAGCUGGUCUGAGAGGAUGACCAGCCACACUGGAACUGAGACACGGUCCAGACUCCUACGGGAGGCAGCAGUGGGGAAUAUUGCACAAUGGGCGCAAGCCUGAUGCAGCCAUGCCGCGUGUAUGAAGAAGGCCUUCGGGUUGUAAAGUACUUUCAGCGGGGAGGAAGGGAGUAAAGUUAAUACCUUUGCUCAUUGACGUUACCCGCAGAAGAAGCACCGGCUAACUCCGUGCCAGCCGCCGCAGUAA